rnacentral:rRNA from 1 species
UACGAAGGGGGCUAGCGUUGCUCGGAAUCACUGGGCGUAAAGGGUGCGUAGGCGGGUCUUUUAAGUCAGGGGUGAAAUCCUGGAGCUCAACUCCAGAACUGCCUUUGAUACUGAAGAUCUUGAGUUCGGGAGAGGUGAGUGGAACUGCGAGUGUAGAGGUGAAAUUCGUAGAUAUUCGCAAGAACACCAGUGGCGAAGGCGGCUUCCUGGACAGUUACUGACGCUGAGACGCGAAAGCGUGGGGAGCAAACAGG